rnacentral:pre_miRNA from 1 species
CCCAUACCCAUGUGUGUAGGACCUCAAAGGAUCACCAUUAAAUUUGGCACAUAUCUCUAGAAAUGUUAUCACAUGGGUGUGGGACUUGACUUUUUUUAGAGAUUUGUGUCAAAUUUAAUGGUGAUCCUUUGGGAUCCUACGCAUAUAGGUGUGGG